GGGAGCAUAGCUCAGCUGGGAGAGCAUCUGCCUUACAAGCAGAGGGUCAUAGGUUCGAGCCCUAUAGGCCCCA
rnacentral:tRNA from 1 species